UACAGGGGGGGCAAGCGUUGUUCGGAAUUACUGGGCGUAAAGCGUGCGCAGGCGGUUGUGUAAGUCUGUCGUGAAAUCCCCGGGCUCAACCUGGGAAUUGCGAUGGAGACUGCACGGCUAGAGUGUGUCAGAGGGGGGUAGAAUUCCACGUGUAGCAGUGAAAUGCGUAGAUAUGUGGAGGAACACCGAUGGCGAAGGCAGCCCCCUGGGAUAACACUGACGCUCAUGCACGAAAGCGUGGGGAGCAAACAGG
rnacentral:rRNA from 1 species